AAGUUAAAAAUUUCGAAGAAGUCAGCAUGAAGUCAGUGACAAAGUUCCAGAUUUAAACAGACUUACAUUUGUUUUUGAUAACCGUCAUACUCUUUAGCGGAUUCGAGGCCAGAGUCAGCCGUCAUAACCAAUCAAUAUGCAAGUUUGGCUUGUGCUGGGAUUGAGCAGCAUGUCACCAGAAGUCUCAUCGCUUGGAUAAACAGCAUCCCUCUUGAUUGGAGAAACUUCUGUUGUCGGCCGAGUUAUGGAUCUCCCUUUUUCCCCUUUUUUAAAAUGUCCUCGUGUACACCCAUGUGAGUGUGGGUGUAUUCACGAGGCCACCCUUUUUACCCUAUCCCGUCUGCUGGUGUAAUUCAACUCUUCAGCGGAUGGAUGGAGCAACCGUGGAUGCCUGGCUGUAUUUCCCAGGCAUAAAGACUCGCGUGCGGAGUGGAUGAUACGUAACAUUUUCAUCUGUCAAAUGCGGGCGGGCGCGCGCGGGAUAUUCAAAUUAAUUUUCUUAAUAGAAUUCGGUGGCACGUGCCAGUUGAACUCGACGACUCGCGCUUGUCAACUUCAAACCCAAAGUGGUUUCAUCAUCCACCGAAAAUUCAUUUUCUUUUCUUUUUUUCCCUUUUUGAAUGCUCGAUGUUAUCCAAUAUAAUGACGUGUCCCAUCUCAACAAUUAUUAUUUGUUCUCUGAAAUCGUACCUUGUGUGCCGUGUUCCGCCUAGCGUGCAGCUUUAGAUACUCGGCGGGAGGGGGAAAAAAAUGAAAAAGCAGAGAAAGAGUUGCAAAAAUCGAUUUCCGACGUCAUCCGGAAGGAUGCGGAUGAAACGCCGUGGUUGUUGACUGUGAAAUCGGGGGGGUUUACUGAGCUAUACAGUAUACAACAAUUCAAACGUCAAUAAAUUCAACGAUUAUCAUCGAGUGUUUAUGUACUGUGUAGCACAACUAACAGUUGCGUUUGUGUACA